rnacentral:rRNA from 1 species
GACGAACGCUGGCGGCGUGCCUAAUACAUGCAAGUUGAGCGCUGAAGGUUGGUACGUGUACCGAAUGGAUGAGCAGCGGACGGGUGAGUAACGCGUGAGCAAUCUUCCUUUGAGCGGGGGACAACAGUUGGAAACGAAUGCUAAUACCGCAUAAAAACUUUAAACACAAGUUUUAAGUAUGAAAGAUGCAAUUGCAUUACUCAAAGAGGAUCCCGCGUUGUAUGUGCUAGUUGGUGAGGUAAAGGCGCACCAAGGCGAUGAUACAUAGCCGACCUGAGAGGGUGAGCGGCCGCCUUGGGACUGUGACCCGGCCCAAACGCCCACGGGCAGCGGCAAUAGGGAAUCGUCGGCCGUGGGCGAGAGUCUGACCGAGAUACGCCGAGGGCGUAUAGAACGUUUUCGGAUCGUGAAUCUCUGUUGGUAGGGAAGAACGUUGGUGCGAGUGGAAAGCACAUAAAGUGACGGUAACUACACAGAAAGGGCCGGCUAACUACGUG